UACGGAGGAUGCAAGCGUUAUCCGGAAUGAUUGGGCGUAAAGCGUCCGCAGGUGGCUGUGUAAGUCUGCUGUUAAAGAGUGAGGCUCAACCUCAUAAAGGCAGUGGGAACUACAUGGCUAGAGUGCGUUCGGGGCAGAGGGAAUUCCUGGUGUAGCGGUGAAAUGCGUAGAGAUCGGCAGGAACACCCAGGGGGAAGCCAGUCGACUGGGCAGCACCUGACGCUGAGGUGCGAGAGCGUGGGGAGCGAACCGG
rnacentral:rRNA from 1 species